GAGACCAUUUUGUAACCUGAUCAUAUGGUUCAACCACUUGAACAUCUCAGAAACUUUUCAGAUAUCAUUCUGUGUAAUUCUGCCUGAUUUUUAAUACUUUCCAGGAUUUAUUGGAUUGUGAAAAAGCACAGAAAUAACCACUCUUGUGUAAUGUUUCUUCUUCUCAUGUACUAAAGAGAUCAAGUACAGCAAACUGAAGACAUUAAUCAUCUGGAAAGUGGGAGUCCUGUGGUACAGAUAACCCAGAGUGGAUGGACACAAGCAGAAGGCUACAGCACCUUGGGUGUGGAACUCUGUGCUUGUCCAAAGCAGACUGAAGAUCUGCAGAACAGAUUCUGUAACAGGAGCUUCCACAGUCAGCACAGGUAG
rnacentral:lncRNA from 1 species